GAAGACUAUGAAGAGCUGUGUGUGGGAUCUACGGUCGUUAUUGACAUCAACACGUUAUUUAUGCCGACAGGAGAAAUCUGCAGACUGGAAAGAUAAUUGCAUCCAUGGCUGCCGUCGCCGCCAUAUUAUUUCAUUUGCGUGUGAGGUCCCAGAGAGCAUUUAAAUCUGUCGCAGUCAGGAGUGGGAGAGAUGGCAGCAAAAGACACAAACAAAUGUUGAUGAGCCCAGAAAAAAGUAAAGUGAAAGCUAAGCGAAGAGAAAUGCAAAGUCGUUGAAGCCACUCCUCGCAAGCGUCUCGCGAGCAAGACUUGAUGAUGGCCCACAAAUCUCCAGGCAGCGUAUUGACAUAUGGAGCUACAAACAGGCUGACUCUGAGCCUGAGCCAGGAGCAGCGUCCCAGACACAGAGAAUUAUGAUGGCAAUCAGCACUGUGUCCAAAAAUGUUUGCUUCAUGCUUCACAUGGGAGACGAGAGACAGACAAUGACAGAGACACUGUAGCGAGUUCGAAAAUUGUGAGUUAAUUCAUAGAAUCAUAAACC